AAUGUGGUUAAUGAUGCUCAACUUUUUUUCCCCAUCUUAUCGACUCUGGUGAAAACCAGUCUGAAAAAAGAAAUAAGCCAAUUUGUCUGAAACCACAUU
ensembl:snoRNA